CGCCAUUUCAACUUUGUUUUAUAACCUUUUUCGCUAUUUCAACCGUCUCACCUACAAUAUAUAUCAUUUUUAGAAGAUUAAAAUCCUUGAUGUAUGCAAUAAGCAUACAUUUUUUUUGUUGAAACCCAGAAUCUGGUAAAAGACUUACCUCUCCAGACUUAAGCUUUAAACUAGUAAAAGACUCCACAUCCAUUAUGACUCCACUGACCCCUGCGUUGUUCACCUGCCAAGAAUUUACAUCCAUACAUGUUAGUGAACAAUUACCCAUUAGAUAGCUAUAGAUAAAAUUAGUUUCAAUCAAUUUAGUUUGUUUCCAAUCUUACCAAUAUGUUGAACUUUCCGAAUUUAUUUUUGAUGUAAUCUGCUAAAGAUAACAUUCAAAGGCCCAAUUCUGGGUUCUUCUCACAAUUCUUUGUCUGCUUCGACUUCAUAUUCUUCUAUCCAAGUCCAAUCUGGUAAUUUCAUUAAUUACCCACUUUCAUACUUGUAUUUUUGAACUUGAUCAUGAUACCAAUUUGCCUAUAUAUAUGUCUGUUUUGUGAUAGACUGUUAAAAAAUAGCAAAAGUUCAAAUUUUUCCUCUUUAAUUACUAGCUAAAUAGCUCAACAAAGUUGGUCAGAAUCAUUAUUUUUUUCUUGCCUUCAAACUGUUUGAUAAAAUGUCUCUUAGGAAGUACUCAGUGUAAAACACCCUUUUGGACUCGUCCCCUAUUUGGGAUGGAGGACAAAGUCAAAGUUAAAUAAUUCUAAUAAUACAAUUGAUUACUAAGCAAAGCACAUAACCACAUACUUGGAUUUUCCUGAAUAGGCAAUAAACAAUAACAAUAUUGAGCCCUUACUUUUUGGUCCUUGACAGAAAAUGAUGAGUUUAAUCCCCAUAUAGUAAUAAGGAAUCUGAAAAGGACUUGUUAAUGAAAUUGACUAACUGGUCAAAUGAAGUUUAUAAAAUUCAGUAAAGUACAUGGAGGUCAAUAGAUUAAAAGUAAUAAUGAGUUUAUCAUGAAAGAUAAAAGAAAGCAAUAUAUAAAACAAAAAGAAAAGCUGUGUUUUUUCUUCUAUGCAAGUCAAUAAUUCAUAGAAGAUGGAAGGUGUACUAGCUCUUUUCAAGCGGCCAUCAUCAUUGAAGCACUUGGAAUAGUUUGCGAGAGGGUUUAUUGCUUCAGUCUCACUGCUAUGUCCUUUUGGUUAGGAUUCCACUUGCAAGUAGUUCCUGAUACCAUGCAUUUAGUAUUGCUAGUAUAUGUCUUAUUAUUUAAGUAAUAUUUGUUAUCUGCAUUCAAACUUGUUAUGCUAUUAUAUAUCUACAGUGCCUAAAAGGAACAGAUGUUAUUUGUAUGUUGUUUUAAAAACUUGUUGUAGUGAUUCUUGCAAUAUUAGUGGAGCUAAUGAUCCUAGUGGUUUGAUCAUGUAGAUACAGUUACUCUCGAAUAUAAUGAGUGGAAAGAUUAUCUUACAGUUGUACCAUUUGUGGUAACUGUUGUAGCAUCUGUGUCUUUGAUUUCUAUAACUUCUAAGUUGAUCCAUGCAACUUCAGGAUCCUCAGCCCACACGUGUGAUCCGACUAUGAUGUUUACAGUAGUUCCCUGGAUCGUUGAAGAAUCACAGAAAAGAAUGGCAAUGCAGAGAAGCCAAUGGAUUUUUGUUGUCUAGAGAGAGAAUGGCAGUGCUAGUAAGGAAUGAUGGAGUGAAGAUUUGCCGGAAAUAAAAAUUAGACAGAAUGUUGAAAAGAAGAGGAAAUUCUGGUGGUGGUAACUCAAAAGAAAAAAAGGCAGAGAUGCUGACUUGGCACCUUUUUUUUGGCUCAUUCGACACAGGAUGCUAACUUGCCACCAAAAGAAGCAUGCCAGUUGUGUGUAGGCAACACAGGGAAUUCAUGUGCAAUUGAUGCAUGGGAUAGUUUUUAUGUUAAUGCUUAUUGUUGUAACCAUCUGAUGAGUGGACGCUUUGCUUCGCCAAUGUUAAAGGGCUUUAUGUUCCUAAUUAUGGUUGUGCAUUGCUAAUGCCAAGCAGUGGGGAUUACUAGCUGUCAUUGGAGUGGUUAUAAAAUUAUGAAAGUGUCUUAUUACUUAAAUAAUUUGACAUUAA